UGGGGUGUCGCCAAGCGGUAAGGCACGUGGUUCUGGUCCACGCAUUCCGGGGUUCGAAUCCCUGCACCCCAGCCA
rnacentral:tRNA from 1 species